rnacentral:lncRNA from 1 species
CAGAGGUUAGGGUUUUUAAUUGCUUAUUAAUUGAUUAUUGAACAAGAAACAGAAACCAAUGAGUCUAUCUCAAGUUAAACUACAUUCAUACAUUCAUUUUGAAGAGCAUUUCUUCUUGAACCACUUGAUGCCAACUGAGGCUCCAGCCUUCAUCUUCUUGGCACCAGUAGCGGCAGCUGCCUUGGCUUUAUCAAUCCAGCUGAGGCUGCAGCUUUUAUCCCCGCCAUCUUCUUGCUUGUGCUGUUGCUGUUGCUGCUGCUGCUUGCAUUUGUCCUCUCCAGCUUCCAAUCGUUUUCUUCGUAGUCGUAGGUCCACUUCUCAGACCAGAUAGGUGUCUUGCUUCCCAUGGAUGUGAUCCUUGCAACAUUUAGAUUACAAAUUGUGCAAAUGGUUAAAUGAACGGCAAGAAAAUGAAUGAAGCUUUUGCAUAUAUUCGAGUCAAAAUGGUAGUAAAUCCAAUAGUUUAUUCCUAAUUAAUUCUUCCACUUUGUAUUAAGCAUUUAUGGUACACAUGCUCAAUCACUGAGCUAAAAGAAAUGAGUCCUAAUUUCAAGUGCUAGUCUAAAUGUAAAACAAUCGAUUAGGUAAAGCAAUUGAUGGACUCUUAUCUCAUCUUUAUGUUAUGAUCAAAUGCCCACCUCAGUAAUCCUCAUCUCCCCUUUACUUUAUCCCGAAAAUCGACCAAUUACUGGCCCUGUAAUCAUCAUGGUAAAUCAUGUUUCUUAUGCAUCAGAUGAGUGGAUGUCGGUCUACUAUUGUGGUUUGUGAAUCAACUUGUUGAUUAAUUUCUCUCUCAGAUUCUUGAUGUAUUUAUAUAUACAUUUACAUAGAGAAAUAUUUAUAAUCUAAAAAAUAAAUAACUAACUCUGAUCAGUUUGAUACCUAAACUUUAAAACCAAAAUCAACUUGGUCGGCCCAAAAUCUUAUAAAUCGAACAACUGAUUAAGCCAAAAGAUUUAUUUAAUCGAUUUGUUAAUCUUGAUUAUUUCGAUUUAUACCAUAGAAAGUUUACCUCUAGCCAAAAUAAUUAAAAAAUAACAGAAGAAGAUAUUAGAGGACAUGGAAAAGAUCUUUUUGGGAGAUUCUCGAAGGGUCUUAUCUUAAUCAAAAGGGAUAUAUGCAAAUAUAUGUGUAUAUUCGUACGAGCAAGCAAACAGUAGCUAUUCAUACAAAAGACUAAGAAAAGAAUAAGACAGAGAAUAGGGACUACCUACCUGAAAUCCUUUUGAUUUGGAUCCUGACUUGGCAAAAGUUGGGAAGUAACAGUGAAUAUUUAUGUGAGGGCAAGAGGAGUUUUGAGAUGAAAAUGGUGGGUUGGUGGUUUAGUGUCAAUUUCAG